UGGGGAAUCUUGGACAAUGGGGGCAACCCUGAUCCAGCGAUGCCGCGUGGGUGAUGAAGGCCUUCGGGUUGUAAAGCCCUUUCGCCGGGGACGAUAGUGACGGUACCCGGAGAAGAAGCCUCGGCUAACUCCGUGCCAGCAGCCGCGGUAAGACGGAGGAGGCUAGCGUUGUUCGGAAUUACUGGGCGUAAAGCGCGCGCGGGCGGUUAAGCAAGUCAGGGGUGAAAGCCCGGGGCUCAACCUCGGAACGGCCUUUGAGACUGCUUGACUUGAGACCGGAAGAGGAGAGUGGAAUUCCCAGUGUAGAGGUGAAAUUCGUAGAUAUUGGGAAGAACACCAGUGGCGAAGGCGGCUCUCUGGUCCGGUACUGACGCUGAGGCGCGAAAGCGUGGGGAGCAAACAGGAUUAGAUACCCCUGUAGUCC
rnacentral:rRNA from 1 species